rnacentral:rRNA from 1 species
GAUGAACGCUGGCGGCGUGCCUAAUACAUGCAAGUCGAGCGAACAGACGAGGAGCUUGCUCCUCUGACGUUAGCGGCGGACGGGUGAGUAACACGUGGAUAACCUACCUAUAAGACUGGGAUAACUUCGGGAAACCGGAGCUAAUACCGGAUAAUAUAUUGAACCGCAUGGUUCAAUAGUGAAAGACGGUUUUGCUGUCACUUAUAGAUGGAUCCGCGCCGCAUUAGCUAGUUGGUAAGGUAACGGCUUACCAAGGCAACGAUGCGUAGCCGACCUGAGAGGGUGAUCGGCCACACGGGAACUGAGACACGGUCCAGACGCCUACGGGAGGCAGCAGUAGGGAAUCUUACGCAAUGGGCGAAAGCCUGACGGAGCAACGCCGCGUGAGUGAUGAAGGUCUUCGGAUCGUAAAACUCUGUUAUUAGGGAAGAACAAAUGUGUAAGUAACUAUGCACGUCUUGACGGUACCUAAUCAGAAAGCCACGGCUAACUACGUG